rnacentral:tRNA from 1 species
GGAAGGCGCCGCUAAAUGGUUGGCAAUCGGUCUUGAAAACCGAGGGGGCCGCAAGGUCAGGGGUUCGAUUCCUCAGUCUUCCGCCA